AUUAAUGAAAAACUUUACGUGUAACUCAACUAAUUACGUUAAAAAUUAGAAUUGUGCUUCACUCGCUUUAAAUAUUCGAAAGGCACCUCUCUAAAAGCUUUACCCACUUGAUGUAAAUCCACAUAAGAGCCACCAGAUCCAAUACACCUACUUUAGGCAAAUACAUGAAACAAUAAUUGAUAACAUUACUGAUUAACAUGUCGAGAAAAUGUUGUUUUGGAUUACACAAUUGAGAAAAAUUACAGAAUGCUCCUUUGGAAUCAAUGGAUUUUUUGAAGCAUCUGCGAGACUUGUAAAUGAAUGAGAUUGGGUGCAUAUGAAUAGAAGCUGCCUCAUUUGGCCCAAUAGCGCUUCUGCAGUUUCCUUACUUUCUAUGAAGUCGGGUUGCUCGACAAGUAAAAGUUUUCUAGAUUGCAUUUCGAACGUAGAGAGUAAAUGAGACACGUCUCGAGGAAGUUCCGAACGUAACAGUUGCGAAUCGUUUAUGGGAGUGUUCACAUUAUCUGAGUGCGUUGUAUUGCUCACGUUGUGAUUAAGAUCAUAGAGUGGUUUAUAUUACAUUGCAAUAUGAAGACGAGGUGAAAUAUACCUCCGCGUAUCGGAAACUUUCACCCUAAGUAAAUAUUUCGCGAAGGGAAGUGCUUCGAAAACUCGUUUAAUGUUUUGAAACUCGUUUCACUAAGUCACGAAGAAAGGUUUACUUGGUACAUCCGCUAAAGUCUUUACAGUAGUCCAACGUGAGAAUUGAAUUUGACCACACUGAUUUUCGUCGGUUGAGGGUUGUAGACGUCGUAUAUCACUAACGAUAUACAACCAUCGCAAGGGAUUUGUAAUUUGUAUUUAGGUAAAGUUUGUGGUGGAGCAGAAAAUGCUCGCGAACGAGAACAAACGUACGUUAGUAUGUCGCGUUAGUUUCUCUGACGCUGUAGAGGAUGGUGUCCCUCCGCCACCGGUGCUCCCGAGGAUGGUGAUGGUAGCAGCGCUCCUCUGGCUGAGUACCUGUGUUAUACUUUUGUUCUACUUGACCAUUCCUCCGUUCUGCUGGCUCAAUGGGACCUUGGAGGCUACAAGAUUUCGCGAGGACAAUACCACAUCGUGUUGGACAGACUAAAUGCUUUGGCAUAGAUGACAUCUUCAUCAACAACGAGGCUACUGCAGCUUGAUGAACAGUAGUUGAUUUUAAUGUGACUUGCGUGAUAUACAUAUGUUUUUAAUUGUAUUAUAGCACAAUAAACUUUGCUGGUA